rnacentral:lncRNA from 1 species
CUUAGGUCCUGGCCUGCCCUCCAUCCUAGCUUCUGUCUUCCAUCUUAGCUUCUGGGCUCUGGGACUCUUUUUCCUAUUUUCCUAAUGGAAAUAGAGAUACUCAUUAUUCAGGUUAGUAUAAUUAACCCCCAGUCUUUGCGGAAAGAAAAGUGCAGAGUUAAUUGCAGAAUUUAAUUUCCAGCUUUUCUCUCACAAAUACUUUUCAGUCAUCUCUUCAGAGCCUUGGAAGAGUUGUUGUUAUCUAUAGGGCUCUUGUAAUACUCAGCAUAGGAUAUGCGGUUUUUAUAAAAAUACGUGUGUGUGUAUACAGAUAGGUAAAUAGAGAAUUCUUAUUUUAGAUAUAAGAGGAGGGAAGUGCUUUUGUGAAGGCAAUUGAACUGAAGGAACUCCCCAGACAACAGGGACUGGUUUUAUUUCAGGAGUCAAAUUCAGAUUUACAGAAUUAAUAAGUUUGGGCUUCUCCUUGUUUGUGACAUUUUCAUACUUUUCACCUGAGAGGCACACUGCGAAAUCAAUGUGAAUGAAAACCCAUUUUCAGGGCAUAAUGUGAAGCUUGUUUACCAGCUCAGGGGG